rnacentral:rRNA from 1 species
UACGUAGGUGGCUAGCGUUGUCCGGAUUUACUGGGCGUAAAGAGCGCGCAGGCGGUCGUUCAAGUCGAGUGUGAAAGCCCCCGGCUCAACUGGGGAGGGUCACUCGAUACUGGUCGACUCGAAGGCAGGAGAGGGAAGCGGAAUUCCCGGUGUAGUGGUGAAAUGCGUAGAUAUCGGGAGGAACACCGGUGGCGAAGGCGACUUCCUGGCCUGUUCUUGACGCUGAGGCGCGAAAGCUAGGGGAGCAAACGGG